GACCCUACGGGACGCAGCAGUAGGGAAUUUUCGUCAAUGGGCGCAAGCCUGAACGAGCAAUGCCGCGUGAACGAGGAAGGUCUUCGGAUCGUAAAGUUCUGUUGAAGGGGAAAAAGAGCGGAGAGAGGAAAUGCUUUCUGAUUGAUAUUACCCUUCGAGGAAGUCACGGCUAACUACGUGCCAGCAGCCGCGGUAAUACGUAGGUGGCGAGCGUUAUCCGGAGUGAUUGGGCGUAAAGGGAGCGUAGACGGCAGCGCAAGUCUGGAGUGAAAUGCCGGGGCCCAACCCCGGAACUGCUCUGGAAA
rnacentral:rRNA from 1 species